UGCUUAAUCGUUCAGUGAUUCAUAGUGAAUAGCUUGUAUCACAGUUCGAUUUGGCCCG
rnacentral:pre_miRNA from 1 species